rnacentral:tRNA from 1 species
CGUGAUCAUGCGCCGGGGACUGCGCCGGCGCCGGCUCGAGGCGGGCGCACCGCACGAGCGGAUCACCGGGGCGUGGUUCGAGUUCACGGACGCGC